CUGCCAGUAGUCAUAUGCUUGUCUCAAAGAUUAAGCCAUGCAUGUCUCAGUACAAGCCAAAUUAAGGUAAACCGCGAAAGGCUCAUUAAAUCAGUUAUGGUUCCUUAGAUCGUACCCACAAUUACUUGGAUAACUGUGGUAAUUCUAGAGCUAAUACAUGCAAACAGAGCUCCGACCGGAGACGGAAGGAGUGCUUUUAUUAGAUCAAAACCAAUCGGUGGCGAGUUCGCUCGUCAUCGUACAACUUGGUGACUCUGAAUAACUUUACGCUGAUCGCACGGUCUCGCACCGGCGACGCAUCUUUCAAAUGUCUGCCUUAUCAACUGUCGAUGGUAGGUUCUGCGCCUACCAUGGUUGUAACGGGUAACGGGGAAUCAGGGUUCGAUUCCGGAGAGGGAGCCUGAGAAACGGCUACCACAUCCAAGGAAGGCAGCAGGCGCGCAAAUUACCCACACCCGGCACGGGGAGGUAGUGACGAAAAAUAACGAUACGGGACUCAUCCGAGGCCCCGUAAUCGGAAUGAGUACACUCUAAACCCUUUAACGAGGAUCAAUUGGAGGGCAAGUCUGGUGCCAGCAGCCGCGGUAAUUCCAGCUCCAAUAGCGUAUAUUAAAGU
rnacentral:rRNA from 1 species